AGCGAACGCUGGCGGCAGGCCUAACACAUGCAAGUCGAACGAACCCUUCGGGGUUAGUGGCGGACGGGUGAGUAACACGUGGGAACGUGCCUUUAGGUUCGGAAUAACUCAGGGAAACUUGUGCUAAUACCGAAUGUGCCCUUCGGGGGAAAGAUUUAUCGCCUUUAGAGCGGCCCGCGUCUGAUUAGCUAGUUGGUGAGGUAAUGGCUCACCAAGGCUACGAUCAGUAGCUGGUCUGAGAGGAUGACCAGCCACAUUGGGACUGAGACACGGCCCAAACGCCGACGGGAGGCAGCAGUGGGGAAUCUUGCGCAAUGGGCGAAAGCCUGACGCAGCCAUGCCGCGUGGAUGAUGAAGGUCUUAGGAUUGUAAAAUCCUUUCACCGGUGAAGAUAAUGACUGUAGCCGGAGAGGAAGCCCCGGCUAACUUCGUGCCAGCCGCCGCGGUAAAAC
rnacentral:rRNA from 1 species